rnacentral:rRNA from 1 species
GUGGUAAUACCGGAUGCUCCGCUCCAUCGCAUGGUGGGGUGGGAAAUGCUUUUGCGGCAUGGGAUGGGGUCGCGUCCUAUCAGCUUGUUGGCGGGGUGAUGGCCCACCAAGGCGUUGACGGGUAGCCGGCCUGAGAGGGUGACCGGCCACAUUGGGACUGAGAUACGGCCCAGACUCCUACGGGAGGCAGCAGUGGGGAAUAUUGCACAAUGGGCGCAAGCCUGAUGCAGCGACGCCGCGUGCGGGAUGGAGGCCUUCGGGUUGUAAACCGCUUUUGUUCAAGGGCAAGGCACGGUUUCGGCCGUGUUGAGUGGAUUGUUCGAAUAAGCACCGGCUAACUACGUGCCAGCAGCCGCGGUAAUACGUAGGGUGCGAGCGUUAUCCGGAUUUAUUGGGCGUAAAGGGCUCGUAGGCGGUUCGUCGCGUCCGGUGUGAAAGUCCAUCGCCUAACGGUGGAUCUGCGCCGGGUACGGGCGGGCUGGAGUGCGGUAGGGGAGACUGGAAUUCCCGGUGUAACGGUGGAAUGUGUAGAUA